UGAAAUAAACAUUGCCAAAUAAAAAAAGAAUUAAAUGAUUGUUUAAUAAUUAUUAUAAAAAAAAAGAAAAAAGAAAAUGGAAUGCGCUGCUGUACUAGUCACAACGUGGGACCCACGGCCACGUACACAAUGACCUGCUGCGCCUCCAAUUAAUAUGUUAGAUAGUCAAAAUAAUGGGGCGCAAGGCACAUAAAUGAAACAAAGAAUUAAAAGCAAAAGGUA
rnacentral:lncRNA from 1 species